ACGGCCCACCAAGCCCACGAUAUCUAGGGGUUCUGAGAGGAAGGUCCCCCACAUUGGUACUGAGACACGGACCAAACUCCUACGGGAGGCAGCAGUGAGGAAUAUUGGUCAAUGGACGAGAGUCUGAACCAGCCAAGUCGCGUGAAGGAAGACGGAUCUAUGGUUUGUAAACUUCUUUAGUGCGGGAACAAAGCGGCGUCGUGACGCCGGAUGAGUGUACCGCAAGAAUAAGCAUCGGCUAACUCCGUGCCAGCAGCCGCGGUAAUACGGAGGAUGCGAGCGUUAUCCGGAUUUAUUGGGUUUAAAGGGAGCGCAGGCUGCGAGGCAAGUCAGCGGUCAAAUGUCGGGGCUCA
rnacentral:rRNA from 1 species